GGGUUGUGAGGUUAAGCGACUAAGCGUACACGGUGGAUGCCCUGGCAGUCAGAGGCGAUGAAGGACGUGCUAAUCUGCGAUAAGCGUCGGUAAGGUGAUAUGAACCGUUAUAACCGGCGAUUUCCGAAUGGGGAAACCCAGUGUGUUUCGACACACUAUCAUUAACUGAAUCCAUAGGUUAAUGAGGCGAACCGGGGGAACUGAAACAUCUAAGUACCCCGAGGAAAAGAAAUCAACCGAGAUUCCCCCAGUAGCGGCGAGCGAACGGGGAGCAGCCCAGAGCCUGAAUCAGUGUGUGUGUUAGUGGAAGCGUCUGGAAAGGCGCGCGAUACAGGGUGACAGCCCCGUACACAAAAAUGCACAUAUUGUGAGCUCGAUGAGUAGGGCGGGACACGUGGUAUCCUGUCUGAAUAUGGGGGGACCAUCCUCCAAGGCUAAAUACUCCUGACUGACCGAUAGUGAACCAGUACCGUGAGGGAAAGGCGAAAAGAACCCCGGCGAGGGGAGUGAAAAAGAACCUGAAACCGUGUACGUACAAGCAGUGGGAGCACGCUUAGGCGUGUGACUGCGUACCUUUUGUAUAAUGGGUCAGCGACUUAUAUUCUGUAGCAAGGUUAACCGAAUAGGGGAGCCGAAGGGAAACCGAGUCUUAACUGGGCGUUAAGUUGCAGGGUAUAGACCCGAAACCCGGUGAUCUAGCCAUGGGCAGGUUGAAGGUUGGGUAACACUAACUGGAGGACCGAACCGACUAAUGUUGAAAAAUUAGCGGAUGACUUGUGGCUGGGGGUGAAAGGCCAAUCAAACCGGGAGAUAGCUGGUUCUCCCCGAAAGCUAUUUAGGUAGCGCCUCGUGAAUUCAUCUCCGGGGGUAGAGCACUGUUUCGGCAAGGGGGUCAUCCCGACUUACCAACCCGAUGCAAACUGCGAAUACCGGAGAAUGUUAUCACGGGAGACACACGGCGGGUGCUAACGUCCGUCGUGAAGAGGGAAACAACCCAGACCGCCAGCUAAGGUCCCAAAGUCAUGGUUAAGUGGGAAACGAUGUGGGAAGGCCCAGACAGCCAGGAUGUUGGCUUAGAAGCAGCCAUCAUUUAAAGAAAGCGUAAUAGCUCACUGGUCGAGUCGGCCUGCGCGGAAGAUGUAACGGGGCUAAACCAUGCACCGAAGCUGCGGCAGCGACGCUGAUGCGUUGUUGGGUAGGGGAGCGUUCUGUAAGCCUGCGAAGGUGUGCUGUGAGGCAUGCUGGAGGUAUCAGAAGUGCGAAUGCUGACAUAAGUAACGAUAAAGCGGGUGAAAAGCCCGCUCGCCGGAAGACCAAGGGUUCCUGUCCAACGUUAAUCGGGGCAGGGUGAGUCGACCCCUAAGGCGAGGCCGAAAGGCGUAGUCGAUGGGAAACAGGUUAAUAUUCCUGUACUUGGUGUUACUGCGAAGGGGGGACGGAGAAGGCUAUGUUGGCCGGGCGACGGUUGUCCCGGUUUAAGCGUGUAGGCUGGUUUUCCAGGCAAAUCCGGAAAAUCAAGGCUGAGGCGUGAUGACGAGGCACUACGGUGCUGAAGCAACAAAUGCCCUGCUUCCAGGAAAAGCCUCUAAGCAUCAGGUAACAUCAAAUCGUACCCCAAACCGACACAGGUGGUCAGGUAGAGAAUACCAAGGCGCUUGAGAGAACUCGGGUGAAGGAACUAGGCAAAAUGGUGCCGUAACUUCGGGAGAAGGCACGCUGAUAUGUAGGUGAAGUCCCUUGCGGAUGGAGCUGAAAUCAGUCGAAGAUACCAGCUGGCUGCAACUGUUUAUUAAAAACACAGCACUGUGCAAACACGAAAGUGGACGUAUACGGUGUGACGCCUGCCCGGUGCCGGAAGGUUAAUUGAUGGGGUCAGCGCAAGCGAAGCUCUUGAUCGAAGCCCCGGUAAACGGCGGCCGUAACUAUAACGGUCCUAAGGUAGCGAAAUUCCUUGUCGGGUAAGUUCCGACCUGCACGAAUGGCGUAAUGAUGGCCAGGCUGUCUCCACCCGAGACUCAGUGAAAUUGAACUCGCUGUGAAGAUGCAGUGUACCCGCGGCAAGACGGAAAGACCCCGUGAACCUUUACUAUAGCUUGACACUGAACAUUGAGCCUUGAUGUGUAGGAUAGGUGGGAGGCUUUGAAGUGUGGACGCCAGUCUGCAUGGAGCCGACCUUGAAAUACCACCCUUUAAUGUUUGAUGUUCUAACGUUGACCCGUAAUCCGGGUUGCGGACAGUGUCUGGUGGGUAGUUUGACUGGGGCGGUCUCCUCCUAAAGAGUAACGGAGGAGCACGAAGGUUGGCUAAUCCUGGUCGGACAUCAGGAGGUUAGUGCAAUGGCAUAAGCCAGCUUGACUGCGAGCGUGACGGCGCGAGCAGGUGCGAAAGCAGGUCAUAGUGAUCCGGUGGUUCUGAAUGGAAGGGCCAUCGCUCAACGGAUAAAAGGUACUCCGGGGAUAACAGGCUGAUACCGCCCAAGAGUUCAUAUCGACGGCGGUGUUUGGCACCUCGAUGUCGGCUCAUCACAUCCUGGGGCUGAAGUAGGUCCCAAGGGUAUGGCUGUUCGCCAUUUAAAGUGGUACGCGAGCUGGGUUUAGAACGUCGUGAGACAGUUCGGUCCCUAUCUGCCGUGGGCGCUGGAGAACUGAGGGGGGCUGCUCCUAGUACGAGAGGACCGGAGUGGACGCAUCACUGGUGUUCGGGUUGUCAUGCCAAUGGCACUGCCCGGUAGCUAAAUGCGGAAGAGAUAAGUGCUGAAAGCAUCUAAGCACGAAACUUGCCCCGAGAUGAGUUCUCCCUGACCCUUUAAGGGUCCUGAAGGAACGUUGAAGACGACGACGUUGAUAGGCCGGGUGUGUAAGCGCAGCGAUGCGUUGAGCUAACCGGUACUAAUGAACCGUGAGGCUUAACCUUACAACGCCGAAGCUGUU
rnacentral:rRNA from 1 species